AGCGUUAACUCUAGGUGGGAGUGGAGCGACUGCACCUGCCUGGCCAUGCUUGGGUUUCGGAGGCCCUCCUGGCGAACCGUCUGCACCCAGCUGGCAUAAACUCUCCUAUUCUGCUACAUAAUCUUCAGGACCGUCAUUCUGACUAGACACACGGUAUUUCACUAAGUGGAUGCAUAAGCUAACCGCAUCAUCGAAGGAACUGAGCCAAAAAUGGCAUAUAUGGACAGUGGCUGACUGACGUGGGGAGGCUGUGAGCACAAGCCACUCAUCUUCAACAGCCGAGUCACGCCGGCCCAGCAAGACGGGCACACGGGCACACCGCAAGCACCACAGGAAGCUGAUCCCGACCUAAGGGGAACACACCUGCCCUUCCUCCUCAUGCUGGCUGAAGCACCCGCACUGUUUGAAUUCCUCUCCUUUUUCCCCACCUGUGAGCACAUAACUUAUAUGAUGGGACUUCACUCUAUCUUUCACUUGCUUCCAAGGCUGUUGCCUUGCGAUUCUAAGAAAUGCUGCACUGAACACCUUUGUGAAUAUUCUCUAUGCUUAGGAUUAUUUUUCUCAGAUAUUUGACCACAGUGGAAUUAUUCAGUUAAAUGUUUUUAAAGUCUUUAACAGGUAACUAAUAAACUGCUUUGAGAAUAUAUAUGGCUGCCAGCAAAAAUUAAAAUUUUACUGUACUUCCUCUUACAUAAGUCACUAUAAAAAAGUUCUCAGCAAUUAA